GGUUGCUAACUCAAUGGUAGAGUACUCGGCUUUUAAGCGACGAGCUCCGGGUUCGAGUCCCGGGCAACC
rnacentral:tRNA from 1 species